ensembl:misc_RNA Metazoa_SRP Metazoan signal recognition particle RNA
GCCUGACGUGGUGGCGGGUGCCUGUAAUCGCAGCUACUUGGGAGGCUGAAGCAAGAGAAUCGCUUGAACUCAGGAGGUGGAGGUUGCAGUGAGCUGAGAUGGUGCCACUGAACUCCAGCCUGGGCGACAAGAGCGAAACUCCAACUCAAAAAAUAAAUAAAUAAAAUAUAGAUAGAUAGAUAGAUAGAUAGUGACCUGCCAGGAGCAGGGGACCACCAGGUUGCCUAAGGAGGGGUGAACUGUCCCAGGAUGGAAAUGAAACAGGUCAAAACUCCUGUGUUGAUCAAUAGUGGGAGAGCACCUGUGAAUAACCACUGCACUCCAGCCUGGACAACAUAGUGAGACCCUAUCUCUA